rnacentral:rRNA from 1 species
CAGUCGCCGCGGUAAUACGAAGGGUGCAAGCGUUACUCGGAAUUACUGGGCGUAAAGCGUGCGUAGGCGGUUUGUUAAGUCUGUUGUGAAAUCCCCGGGCUCAACCUGGGAAUGGCAAUGGAUACUGGCAAGCUAGAGUGUGUCAGAGGAUGGUGGAAUUCCCGGUGUAGCGGUGAAAUGCGUAGAGAUCGGGAGGAACAUCAGUGGCGAAGGCGGCCAUCUGGGACAACACUGACGCUGAGGCACGAAAGCGUGGGGAGCAAACAGGAUUAGAUACCCCUGUAGUCCCUGUCUCUUAUAC